CAAUUCUUGAUUUCUUCUAAAUGACAGUUUGCCAGAUGGAAUAACUGUAUGGAACAAUCUGUAAUCCAAGUAAGCUUUUUGAAAAAAAACAACUUAUAGCAAGAGAAAGCUAGGGCAAUCCCGUGUAAAAUGCAUGCCCGUAGAAGGGUCGCGGAGGGGGCCGGAAGCUCAAAGACAAAAUGGUGUUCUUUCAGGCUUUGUUAGAUUGUUUUAAUUUUAUCAUAGAGUUUAAAAUAAACAUUUUAUGGUAACAUUUAUCUUGUAAAGAUCUUGAAGAAAUCUCUAACAGAUUUUGACUCUCAAAAAAGGAAAUUUAACCUGAACUUGAAUGUUGAUCUUACAAAAUAUAUCUUGUCGUUCUUUCAUAAAAUAAUGACGCACUGCAGCACAGUCAUUUGACUUACUUAACUUCAUCUCUGAAAAUUGAAAUACAUGUAAAUGAUAAAAAAUGAGUGAGCUCUCGAAAGGUCUGAGCUACAACACCGGUUGUGAACAAUUCAUCACUUCUAAAAGGCUUUUGUGGUUCCAACUUGAGGCCAUCCGCAAACUAAAUUAAUCUACAUUAGAAUAUAAACAGAAGCACUGACCAGUGGACGAAAAGUAGGUUCUUGUUCCAUUGUCCAUUUUGACUGUAACUAAUGCCCUGAAACAUUCAAGACAUACUGAUACUUCUGUCCAAACAAUUGUAAGUUUUCAGAUAUUUUUGCAUUGUUUCCUUCACUUGAGCUUCACUUUUAAAUUCUUCUUAUUGAGUUUGUUAUUUACAUUUGUGUUAAAAAUUGUUAAUUGAAAAGUGGGCUAUUUCUAAUAUAUACAAAAUCAUGUUCAUGAACAAUACACCUCCAUCUAUCUUUACCUAUAAAUUUUCACAUACAAUUUUUAAAUGGAAAGAUGAAAUAACUUUGGCUGUUGUCGUCAUAUUUUCAAAAGAAAAUGAAACAAAACUGAUUUCCAAAAAGGGCGAUUCUAAAAUCGGAUUUUUACAGACAAUAAUAACAUUAAUUAUAAAGUUAUUUAUUUCUCAGAUAAAAUGCUUGGACUUAAUCGUUAUAAUCUUGAUAUGAAAUGGUUAAAAGGAAAUCGGAAAUUCAAAAUUUUUAGGUUUUGUUUUUACAAUGAAUAACUAAUGGAAACAAAUGUCAUCUCAGAGCAUACAAACAAAGGCAGUUCUGAGAUAUUUUUUAAGACUCUUGUUGAAAUUUAACUAUUAAUGUACAAUAAACAACUCACAACUAUUUUCAGGAAUAUGACUCAAAAUAUCUCAUCGAAUAUCAUUAAAGUGCAGGCUAAAAUAUGAAAUAAAAAAAACCAACCCAUAGUAUAGUAUUUUAAAAAGUAUAUUUUUAUACCUGAUCUUUCAAACCAUAUUCACUACUUGUACAUUAUUGUAUUUAACAUGUUGAAUAUCCCAAGUUCAGCGCCCAAUUUCAUGGCUCUGCGUUCUGUUAGUGGGAAAAAUCCCUGCUUUCUGUUACCAAAAAUUCUGUGCUUACUGUUUAUUUCACGGGUUUAGCGAGAAAUUUUGGCUUACGCACAUACCGGUACUUAGAUUUUGUAACUUAAGAUUCUGCGGUUACAGGGUAAGC
rnacentral:lncRNA from 1 species